GACGUAGGGCGCAAGCGUUGUCCGGAUUUAUUGGGCGUAAAGGGCUCGUAGGCGGCCAACUAAGUCGGACGUGAAAUCCCUCGGCUUAACCGGGGAACUGCGUCCGAUACUGGAUGGCUUGAGUGUGGGAGAGGGAUGCGGAAUUCCAGGUGUAGCGGUGAAAUGCGUAGAUAUCGGGAAGAACACCCGUGGCGAAGGCGGUUCUCUGGGACGGUACUGACGCUGAGACGCGAAAGCGUGGGGAGCGAACAGG
rnacentral:rRNA from 1 species